UGGGGAAUUUUCCGCAAUGGGCGCAAGCCUGACGGAGCAAUGCCGCGUGAGGGAGGAAGGCCUUUGGGUUGUAAACCUCUUUUCUCAGGGAAGAAGACAAUGACGGUACCUGAGGAAUCAGCCUCGGCUAACUCCGUGCCAGCAGCCGCGGUAAUACGGAGGAGGCAAGCGUUAUCCGGAAUUAUUGGGCGUAAAGAGUCCGUAGGUGGCUCGUCAAGUCUGCGGUCAAAGACAGAAGCUUAACUUCUGAGAGGCCGUGGAAACUGGGGAGCUAGAGGCCAGUAGGGGUAGAGGGAAUUCCCCGUGUAGCGGUGAAAUGCGUAGAGAUGGGGAAGAACACCAGUGGCGAAAGCGCUCUACUGGACUGGCACUGACACUGAGGGACGAAAGCUAGGGGAGCGAAAGGG
rnacentral:rRNA from 1 species